rnacentral:sRNA from 2 species
GGGGAAGCAAAGGUUUCGACAGGGCUAAAAGGUUAUAGGUAGCAGGCCAGGUUGACCGCUGUAAGAGGUUAACUCAUCUUUUAGAUGAUAACAAUAAUUACGCAAUAGCUGCCUAGUUGCAGCUCACCUUCGAUCUCUCUUUUCUGUAGGAGAUUUCAAGCAAGGUGUCACUAAAAUACAGAUUACCAAUUGUGAUUUCUCUAAGCUGUUGGGACAUUCUAGAGGAUAGCUAUUAUCAGCCCUGUCUGAGGGAUUGGUAUUAGUGAAAUUGAAUAUCAGACUAAGCUUGUAGAAGCUUAUGGCGCUUUUAGUUUUGGACACGGGUUCGAUUCCCGUCUUCUCCACCA